rnacentral:lncRNA from 1 species
UUGAUAUGAAAAUUGAUGGUGUUUGGUCCGCGAACGUUCAUCGCUUCGUGGUAUGUCAGUCUUCUAGUACGGCCAACUAGGCCUAGGGCCAACACAAGUCAGUUUGAUUCGGAGAAACCAGAGGAACUCCAAAAGAUCAGCAACUGAGAAGCAUGAGAAGCUUAGAAAUUUUCUACCUAGUAAGGCACACCGUCGAUAAAAACACCGAACAACAAGGAAAGUCACAUACUCCAGAUCCGGCGAUCUAGAUCAUAGAUCUGCUUCCAAAAACUCAAAACCAUAUAGACUACCACCAGAAGCGGCCAAUUUGGACUGACGUUCAUAGAUGCGUAUAUCCCAUGUAACGAAAAUAAAAUAAAAUCCAGUAAGGUGAUAUUUGUAAAAGUUCGUUAUAUAUGGGAUUCUUCUCUUCCCUUGGAAACCAAGGCAAAAACUACUACACAGGUGUCACCGUGCAUCUUCAUUCACCGCACAUCUUUUUUGAUUUUUUUUAACCUUUUUUUCAUUCUCAUCUUCAUUUGAUGGUCUCUGCUUUUGGGUGUUUUGAUGUUUUUCUCUAUGAGUUGUAC